GUUUGAUUAGCUCAGUGGGAGAGCAAUUGACUAACAAUCAAUUGGGCGUAGGUUCGAUUCCUAUAUCAAACA
rnacentral:tRNA from 1 species